rnacentral:tRNA from 1 species
GCCGAGGUGGCGGAAUUGGCAGACGCGCAUGGUUGAGGGCCAUGUGGACACUUAAACGUCCGUGCGGGUUCAAGUCCCGCCCUCGGCA